AGAACAUGUCCCGGCUUCCUAUAAAGACUCUGCAGCCUGGUGGAGACCUCACACCGUCCACCCAGACCAGCCUGCGCCCCUCCCCCUCCCCACAGUGCAGCUGCAGGUCUUGAGCCACUCCAGAUCUUCCCUCAGACACACAUCCAAUCAGGAGAAAUGAUCAUCAGACUGGGCCGACUGACACCUGGAUACUUCCGUCUCCUCCAGAGGCAAGUUGCCGGCGAGGUGCAGAUGCAGCCGCAGGACCGUGCUGUGAACCAGAUCGCCAUGAUGCUGGCCAUCAUGGGCCUGAGUUUGUCCUACUACAGUGCCAAACAGAUGAUGGAAAAGGUCCAGGCCCAGCCAGCGCCCUGAGGAGACUUGACUACACUUGGAUCGAUUGUUGAAAUAGUAAAUGGACGAGCCAAUGAGGAGUGAAGGAGAUGGAGCGAGGAAGCAGGAAGGCACAGCAGUGUCCUUCAGGACCGCACUUUUCUCACCUCACAGUCAUAGUCACACUCAGACAUUGAAUUUCCAGUAUCCCUCACUUACCAACACUUUUUAGCGUUUUCUAUAUAUUCCAUUGUCGGGGCCUGGAGGGAUUUGUGGCUCACUUUGGGGGGGGGUCGUGGUUAGGAUUGGUUUUCUGGCCUGGUUUGGGUGGGGGAUCAAAAUAACCCAGCUGCCUGCCAACAGAGUCCGACCCGUCACAAAGGUACAUGCUUGCACGCUGCUGUCAAUACUGUUCUAAGCAACAAAUCAGAAGGGUGAGCUCUUGCACAAGAGUGAAUUGUGCCAGUGCUCAAAGCUCGGCCAAAUACAGUUGAAUAACAUGAACAGUAAUGCUCUUUAAGGGAAAGCACACUGCAAUUGAGAUGCACCUUUGUAUUGACGUGUUGGCAGGUUGAGGACAAUGGUUAAAGGGGAUAAAACUUUAGCUCAACCCGUUUAGAUUUUCAUUUUUUUUUUUCUUUGCCUUCACAAGAGAACCUUGCAGCGCCUGUGAACAGAGAAGGAGUAGUACUCUCAUACUGUGAAUAUAUACAUACACAUAUAUACUUGUGAAAUAUAUCUGUAAGAUUGAGAGAACAUUUGCACAAAACUUCCGACAUGUUUAAAAUACUUCAACAGAUCCGCAAAGGGACUUAAAAUAUCCACUACCUUAUUUUUUGGUGUGUUUUUUUUUCUUCUGCGAUUUCACGCUGCUUAACAUUAAUCGAGUUAAGUCCUAGAAAUAAUAAGUGUGUGACUACCUUGAUAAGCACCCUGGUUCCUGCUGUAUCAAAUACAUGCGAACAUUUAUCUUUACUGAACAUUGCAUGGGUGUGCUGACUUUUAAUCAAAACAAAAUUCAUGAGUCUCUGUUUUUAUUGAUGAAUGAAUGUAUAACCUUAUUUUGUAAUGAUUUAAUAAAGCUGUGAAUUUUUUGAAUUGAGCUGUACGGUGGAUGUUUAGUCGCGUUGACUGAGCUAUUUGAGAACUAAAGUAAUCCAAAACUUAGACUGUUGUUAUUUGCACAGAAAAUGAAUUAAGUCUGAGCUUUCCUGAAGUAGCCACUCGAAGCUGCAGCGUCAGUCAAUAAUCUGCACGCAACAGGAAGUCCUCAGGCUUUCACACAUGUUGUGUUCUUCCUUUGCGUGCCAAUGAAUGUGACGCUCACGCACUAAAAGCGUUUGAGCAUAAAUG